ACAUGUUGUCCUACAGUGCUGUCAGGACACUGUACCUGCUAGGCCCUAUCUGGGGAUAAAUAGGAAGCACAAACACAACAACUAACAGAGCAACAGAGGA